AAAGCAAUUGAACUAAUAGAAGUGGGUUCAAACACUAAAAAAGACUAGUUAUAUGAAUUGGGUCUGUUAGUGUCACAAUUGACUUUACUCUAGCUAUCUGAAAUCAAUUAUCAAACUAUAAAGUACCAAGGCUUAUUACUUCCAUCUUAAUUCAACACAUAAUUCAUUCUACAAAUAUCAAUUCAACAAUACUUCUAUAUUCUUAUCAGUUCAUCUCCCACUUACUCUCUUUACGAUUUAUAUAUAUUCAAUUAUUGAUCUCCAACUUACUUAUUAUAUUUAGUUUCUCAAUUCAUCAUACAGAAUUCAAUAUCUUUACUUAACACAACACAAUUUGAUAAUCUCAAUUCUCAAGGUCACAGAUUUUUUCCAAAACGGUCAGUCCAAAGUCAUAUUCCACAAUAUUCUAAUUAUAAUUUCAACAAUACUU
rnacentral:lncRNA from 1 species